rnacentral:tRNA from 1 species
GCCCCCUUGGCGGAAUGGUAGACGCAUGGGACUUAAAAUCCCUGGCGUUCGGGCGUCCCGGUUCAAGUCCGGGAGGGGGCA